GAUGAACGCUGGCGGCGUGCUUAACACAUGCAAGUCGAACGAGUGGCGAACGGGUGAGUAACACGUGGGUGAUCUGCCUUGUACUUCGGGAUAAGCCUGGGAAACUGGGUCUAAUACCGGAUAGUACGAGGUGAGCCCGCGGCCUAUCAGCUUGUUGGUGGGGUAAUGGCUACCAAGGCGCGACGGGUAGCCGGCCUGAGAGGGUUUACGGCCACAUUGGGACUGCGACACGGGCCAGCAUUCGGCGGGAGGCAGCAGUGGGGAAUAUUGCACAAUGGGCGGAGGCCUGAUGCAGAGACGCCGUGUGAGGGAUGACGGCCUUCGGGUUGUAAACAUCUUUCGCUAGGGAAGCGGUACCUGGAUAAGAAGCACCGGCUAACUACGUGCCAGCAGCCGCGGUAAUUC
rnacentral:rRNA from 1 species